rnacentral:misc_RNA from 1 species
CUGUUCAGGGGAUAUAUGAACAGCAAAACCGUUUAUAAGAUGCCUAUAGCUGUAGAGUUUCUUGUACGUUCCAUGGUCCAACAGUGAACCAAGAAGCAUGUCAUGUUUCUCUUCAAGAUGCUGAGCAUAGGAUGUGACCAAUUGACUGGUGGUGUCAAUCUUCUCAUCAGUAUCUACAGCAAUGGGAUCAAAGCCAGGGACACCUCCUCUAUAACUUAUGACAGGCUCCCCAUCCACUGUAACAAUAUAAAUCUCUGGUUUCCCAGUAGGCAGGAGGACCAACAAAACAAGAAUUGAGCACAAAAGCUGAACCACCUUCAUUUUUAGUUACUCACAAGAUAGAAACGCAAGCAAGGAAUCAAAUCAGAAAGAAAGAAGAUGAGUCAAAGCAACAACUAAGGAAGCAAAAGAACGCAAAUGGCAUUUGGAUAAGAGAGAGCAUUAAAAGGGACAGAGACCCUCUCUAUCUCUCUCUCUCUGUUUGUG